rnacentral:rRNA from 2 species
GAGUUUGAUCCUGGCUCAGAGUGAACGCUGGCGGCGUGCCUAAUACAUGCAAGUCGAACGAUGAAGCUUCUAGCUUGCUAGAAUGCUGAUUAGUGGCGCACGGGUGAGUAACGCAUAGGUCAUGUGCCUCUUAGUUUGGGAUAGCCAUUGGAAACGAUGAUUAAUACCAGAUACUCCCUACGGGGGAAAGAUUUAUCGCUAAGAGAUCAGCCUAUGUCCUAUCAGCUUGUUGGUAAGGUAAUGGCUUACCAAGGCUAUGACGGGUAUCCGGCCUGAGAGGGUGAACGGACACACUGGAACUGAGACACGGUCCAGACUCCUACGGGAGGCAGCAGUAGGGAAUAUUGCUCAAUGGGGGAAACCCUGAAGCAGCAACGCCGCGUGGAGGAUGAAGGUUUUAGGAUUGUAAACUCCUUUUGUUAGAGAAGAUAAUGACGGUAUCUAACGAAUAAGCACCGGCUAACUCCGUGCCAGCAGCCGCGGUAAUACGGAGGGUGCAAGCGUUACUCGGAAUCACUGGGCGUAAAGAGCGCGUAGGCGGGAUAGUCAGUCAGGUGUGAAAUCCUAUGGCUUAACCAUAGAACUGCAUUUGAAACUACUAUUCUAGAGUGUGGGAGAGGUAGGUGGAAUUCUUGGUGUAGGGGUAAAAUCCGUAGAGAUCAAGAGGAAUACUCAUUGCGAAGGCGACCUGCUGGAACAUUACUGACGCUGAUUGCGCGAAAGCGUGGGGAGCAAACAGGAUUAGAUACCCUGGUAGUCCACGCCCUAAACGAUGGAUGCUAGUUGUUGGAGGGCUUAGUCUCUCCAGUAAUGCAGCUAACGCAUUAAGCAUCCCGCCUGGGGAGUACGGUCGCAAGAUUAAAACUCAAAGGAAUAGACGGGGACCCGCACAAGCGGUGGAGCAUGUGGUUUAAUUCGAAGAUACACGAAGAACCUUACCUAGGCUUGACAUUGAGAGAAUCCGCUAGAAAUAGUGGAGUGUCUAGCUUGCUAGACCUUGAAAACAGGUGCUGCACGGCUGUCGUCAGCUCGUGUCGUGAGAUGUUGGGUUAAGUCCCGCAACGAGCGCAACCCCCUUUCUUAGUUGCUAACAGGUCAUGCUGAGAACUCUAAGGAUACUGCCUCCGUAAGGAGGAGGAAGGUGGGGACGACGUCAAGUCAUCAUGGCCCUUACGCCUAGGGCUACACACGUGCUACAAUGGGGUGCACAAAGAGAAGCAAUACUGCGAAGUGGAGCCAAUCUUCAAAACACCUCUCAGUUCGGAUUGUAGGCUGCAACUCGCCUGCAUGAAGCUGGAAUCGCUAGUAAUCGCAAAUCAGCCAUGUUGCGGUGAAUACGUUCCCGGGUCUUGUACUCACCGCCCGUCACACCAUGGGAGUUGUGUUUGCCUUAAGUCAGGAUGCUAAAUUGGCUACUGCCCACGGCACACACAGCGACUGGGGUGAAGUCGUAACAAGGUAACCGUAGGUGAACCUGCGGUUGGAUCACC